AGCUCGGAUCCGGCUCAGAUUGAACGCUGGCGGGAUGCUUUACAUGCAAGUCGAACGGCAGCACCGGACUUCGGUCUGGUGGCGAGGGCGAACGGGUGAGUAAUGUAUCGGAACGCCUAGUGAAGUGGGGAUAACUACGCGAAAGCGUAGCGACGACGGCUACACCUCUUCGGGGGAAAGUGGACCUUUCGGGCUCGCAAUUAUUAAGAGCGGCUGAUAUCGGAUUAGCCGCUGGUGGGGUAACGCCCCCACCAAGGCGACGAUCCGUAGCUGGUUUGAGAGGACGACCAGCCACACUGGGACUGAGACACGGCCCAGACUCCUACGGAGGUAAAGUAGUGGGGAAUGGGAUAAUGGGGGAAACUUCGAUCCUCAGCCAUCUCGCGUGUGCGAAGAAGGCCUUUGGUUGUAAAGCACUUUGCAUGCAGCAGAAGAAACGGCAUUGGAUAAUACCCGUGCAACUGACGGUACCGGCAGAAUAAGCACCGGCUAACCACGUGCCAGCAGCCGCGUAAUACGUAGGGUGCAAGCGUUAAUCGGAAUUACUGGGCGUAAAGCGCAGGCGGUUCGGAAAGAAAAAGAUGUGAAAUCCCAGAGCUAACUUUGGAACUGCAUUUUUAACUACCGAGUCAGAUGCCAGAGGGAGGCGGAAUUCCGCGUAGCAGGAAACGCGUAGAUAUGCGGAGGAACACCGAUGGCGGCAGCCUGGGAUACAAUACCGACGCUCAUGCACGAAAGCGUGGGGAGCAACAGGAUUAGAUACCCUGGUAGUCCACGCCCUAAACGAUGUCAACUAGCUGUUGGGGGCUUUCGUGGCCUCGGUAGCGCAGCUAACGCGUGAAGUUGACCGCCUGGGGGCACUGGUCAGCAAGAUUAAAACUCAAAGGAAUUGGACGGGGACUCGCACAAGCGGUGGAUGAUGUGGAUUAAUUCGAUGCAAACGCGAAAACCUUACCUACCUUCUUGACAUGUCUGGAACUUUAGCGAUUUGGGAGGUUUGCAGAGAACCGGAACAUGUGCUGCAUGGCUGCCGCCAGCUCGGUGUCGUGAGAUGUUGGGUUAAGUCCUGCAACGAGCGCAACCCUUGUCAUUAGUUGCUACGAAAGGGCACUCUAUCGAGACUGCCGGUGACAAACCGAGAAGGUGGGGAUGACGUCAAGUCCUCAUGGCCCUUAUGGGUAGGGCUUCCUCACACGUCAUACAAAUGCACGACAGAGGGUCGCCAACCCGCGAGGGGGAGCUAAUCCCAGAAACCCGAUCGUAGUCCGGAUCGCAGUCUGCAACUCGACUGCGUGAAGUCGGAAUCGCUAGUAAUCGCGGAUCAGCAUGUCGCGGUGAAUACGUUCCCGGGUCUUGUACACACCGCCCGUCAGCACCAUGGGAGUGGUUUUACCAGAAGUAGUUAGCCUAACCGUAAGGAGGGCGAUUAAUGGUAGAUUCAUGACUGGGGUGAAGUCAACAAGGUAG
rnacentral:rRNA from 1 species